GGGCUGGUAGAUCAGCUGGAACACGUGCGGCAAAGAUCGCCUGCUUUGCAAGCAGGAGGCCAUGGGUUCAAAUCCCAUCCAGUCCA
rnacentral:tRNA from 1 species